UUUCGUUUUGGUCAUACCAUGCACCGAGGGAUCCGACGACGAAAGCCGAUAUAGAAGCUUGCAGGUGUUGUUUUGUAAAGAAUUCUAUCAGCAAUGUGUACUCCUAAACCAUGUUGGUCCGUUGUGGUAAAUUCACACUGAUUGCAUUGGAAGUUUAUGUUAUCGAGGUGGCUGCACAUACUCGCGAUUAGUAGAACGAUAGCGACAGAGAUGAUCUUGAUCAAGGAUAUGAUGGCGAUAAAACGGGAUAUAAGGUAAGAA